UACGUAGGUGGCAAGCGUUGUCCGGAUUUAUUGGGUUUAAAGGGUGCGUAGGCGGCCUUGUAAGUCAGUGCUGGAAUAUCCCGGCUUAACCGGGAGGGUGGCAUUGAUACUGCAGGGCUUGAGUAAAGUUGAGGUUGGCGGAAUUGACGGUGUAGCGGUGAAAUGCUUAGAUAUCGUCAAGAACACCGAUAGUGAAGACAGCUAACUAAGCUUUAACUGACGCUGAGGCACGAAAGUGUGGGGAUCAAACAGG
rnacentral:rRNA from 1 species